GACAGAGGGUGCGAGCGUUGUUCGGAAUUACUGGGCGUAAAGGGCGCGUAGGCGGUCUGUUAAGUUCGGUGUGAAAGCCCUCGGCUCAACCGGGGAAGUGCGCCGGAUACUGGCAGACUUGAGUACCGGAGAGGAGGGUGGAAUUCCUGGUGUAGCGGUGAAAUGCGUAGAUAUCAGGAGGAACACCGGUGGCGAAGGCGGGUCUCUGGGCCGAUACUGACGCUGAGGAGCGAAAGCGUGGGGAGCGAACAGG
rnacentral:rRNA from 1 species